AAUUUCUAUUGGAAGUGAUGCUGUUUAUGCUGCGGAAGAAUACUUGAAAUCUGGAGUGAAAACUGGAAAGAGCAGUCUAGAGCAGAUCUCCCGAGUUUAUGGAAAUCAGGCAGUAGUUGUAAGCAUUGAUCCUCGAAGGGUGUAUGUAAAGGACCCCAAGGCCGUGGAAUUCAGGACUGUGAAAGUGCGAAACCCAGGUCCAAAUGGAGAAGAA
rnacentral:misc_RNA from 1 species